GCAUCCUUCGGGGUGAGUGGCAGACGGGUGAGUAACGCGUGGGAACGUGCCCUUCAGUUCGGAAUAACCCAGGGAAACUUGGGCUAAUACCGGAUACGUGCGAGAGCAGAAAGAUUUAUCGCUGAAGGAUCGGCCCGCGUCUGAUUAGCUUGUUGGUGGGGUAAUGGCCCACCAAGGCGACGAUCAGUAGCUGGUCUGAGAGGAUGAUCAGCCACAUUGGGACUGAGACACGGCCCAAACUCCUACGGGAGGCAGCAGUGGGGAAUAUUGGACAAUGGGCGCAAGCCUGAUCCAGCCAUGCCGCGUGAGUGAUGAAGGCCUUAGGGUUGUAAAGCUCUUUCAGCGGGGACGAUAAUGACGGUACCCGCAGAAGAAGCCCCGGCUAACUUCGUGCCAGCAGCCGCGGUAAUACGAAGGGGGCUAGCGUUGUUCGGAAUCACUGGGCGUAAAGGGCGCGUAGGCGGCUUUGUAAGUCGGGGGUGAAAGCCUGUGGCUCAACCACAGAAUUGCCUUCGAUACUGCAUGGCUUGAGACCGGAAGAGGUUAGUGGAACUGCGAGUGUAGAGGUGAAAUUCGUAGAUAUUCGCAAGAACACCAGUGGCGAAGGCGGCUGACUGGUCCGGUUCUGACGCUGAGGCGCGAAAGCGUGGGGAGCAAACAGGAUUAGAUACCCUGGUAGUCCACGCCGUAAACGAUGAAUGCCAGCCGUUGGCGAGCUUGCUCGUCAGUGGCGCAGCUAACGCUUUAAGCAUUCC
rnacentral:rRNA from 1 species